GACCGACCGGUGCUGAUGCGAGUGUACGCUACGAGUACUUGUGCUCGCUAAAGCCGGCUUCUGUCGCGAUGGCAAGCUCUGAAUCACCGGUCCUGUCUCCACAGGGGCUGCGUUAAGUGAGGUCGGGAUCCGCUAACAUUGAAGGGGAUAUACUGUGUCGCGCAUGCUGUCGGCAGCGAGGAAACGCGCCAUAAGCAUGUCCGAUCACGUUCGCUGCCGGGAGAGCCGGGGGUGAACAGCUCUUCUUGGCGAGGAGGCGGGACCACAGAGGCUGGAAUGGCGGUAUCUGGUGGCCGGCGCUCAGCAGAGGCCUCCAUGCUGCUGUAGGGCCUUCUGUGGGAGCAGUACACGAGACGGAGUCCGCAUGGUGCCGACGCGGCUGCUGGUAGGGGUGCGCCUGCUGCUGGUGGUGUGCUCCGUCUGCCUGCUGACGCUGCUGCUACUGCUGGGCCGCUGCAGUGUGGAGUCAC